GGUAUGACUCUUGGCAAUGGAUAUCUCAGCUCUCGCAUCGACGAAGAACGUAGCAAAAUGCGAUACAUGGUGCGAUUUGUAGAAUCCCGUGAACCAUCGAGUCUUCAAAUGCAAGUUGCGCCCGAGGCCAUCCAGUCGAGGGCAAGCUUGCCUGGGCACCAACC
rnacentral:rRNA from 1 species